CAGUGCAUCUGGACUUGGUUCAAGUGGCACCAGCCAAAUCCCUGCCUUACUGACCUCUCCCCUGGAGGAGCAGGAGCAGCGCUCAAGGCCGCCCUGGGAGGGCUGAGAGGCAGGCUCUGGACUGGGGACACAGGGAUAGCUGAGCCCCAGCUGGGGGUGGAAGCUGAGCCAGGGACAGUCACAGAGGAACAAGAUCAAGAUGCGCUUUAACUGAGAAGCCCCCAAGGCAGAGGCUGAGAAUCAGAAGACAUUUCAGCAGACAUCUACAAAUCUGAAGGACAAAACAUGGUUCAAGCAUCUGGGCACAGGCGGCUGGAUUGUACCAGUGUCCUUUACUGCAGUGACUGAACAUUCUAGGCACAGUAGAUUCAAGAAAUCUUGAGUUCAUUGGCUGCUCGGGCCACUGUAUCAGGUCCACCCGUGGCUCCAAAAUGGUCUCCUGGUCCGUGAUAGCAAAGAUCCA
rnacentral:lncRNA from 1 species